AUGGAAGAAAAAUAGCGCCGCUGAGGUGAUUGUGCCUCCCUGUUUUGAUUCCUAUGCUUUCCCUUGGUUUAGUGGUCACUGGCUGAAAUUUCCCCAAAGGAAGGGAUUCUUCCCAGAAAAGAAGGGAAAGAUAGCUCCGAUUAACGACAUGCCUUAAACCAACCAAAGGUGCGAGUGUCCCAGUCUUCACUGAAGCAGACCAGAUUCUAAAUCUUCAUACUUUGUACGAUUUCCAGCCAGUCUGUUGUCAGCUGCAACUGGUUCUUUUCAUCUUUUGUGGUAAAUGUCAGAAGCAUGGCUGUUGGUCUACAAGAGCUCUAGAGUCUUCUUUGGAGCAGGAACCUGACAUUUUGUACCAAAAUAGCCUAAAAACAGCCUCAGGGUCAUACCGUCACUUCAAAAGUUAACGCAUCAAAGAUUUAACACCUGGUAAGUACUGCAAGUGUUACUUUGAAAAGUGAAAGUUAUUUUCAUUUGAAAAGUGUUCCAAGGUUUGACAGCAUUUCCCACACAUUCAUACUGUCUUCCAACUGGAAAAAUUUGGAAAAUAGUAGGGA
rnacentral:lncRNA from 1 species